rnacentral:lncRNA from 1 species
UUGAUCCUACAAAUUCAUGGGUUGUAGACUCUGAAGUCACUAAUCAUAUAUGCAUGUCUAUGAAGGUGCUUCAGGAGAGUAGAAAACUCAGUGAAGGCCAACUUAAAAUUACUUUCGGCACAAGAGCUAUAGUUUCAGCAAGAGCAGUAGGAGUAGUUUAUUUCAAUAGUGGUAGGCCUUUAAUUCUUAAAGACUGUUAUUAUGUCCUGCGGAUGAAGCAGAUUUUGAUUUCUCUUUCUUAUUUAAUAGGACAAGGUUAUUCUGUAAACUCUGGGC